rnacentral:pre_miRNA from 1 species
UACGUACUCCCUCCGUCCCAAAAUUCUUGUCUUAUAUUUGUGUAGAUAUGAAUGUAUUUAGUCACGUUUUAGUAUUUGAUACAUUUAUUUCUAGACAAACCUAAGACAAGAAUUUUUGAAGGGAGGGAGUAGUAU